UACGGAGGUUCCAAGCGUUGUUCGGAAUUACUGGGCGUAAAGGGAGCGCAGGCGGGCAAGUCAGUCUGAAGUGAAAUCCCGGGGCUCAACCUCGGACUUGCUUCGGAUACUGCUUGUCUUGAGUUCGUGAUAGGAAGACGGAAUUCAGGGUGUAGCGGUGGAAUGCACAGAUAUCCUGAGGAACACCGGUGGCGAAAGCGGUCUUCUGGCGCGAAACUGACGCUGAGGCUCGAAAGCGUGGGUAGCAAACGGGAUUAGAUACCCCGGUAGUCCACGCCGUAAACGUUGUGUACUAGGUGUAGGAGGUAUCGACCCCUUCUGUGCCGCAGUUAACACAAUAAGUAUUCCACCUGGGGAGUACGACCGCAAGGUUGAA
rnacentral:rRNA from 1 species